GAUGUCGACUUGGAGGUUGUGCCCUUGAGGCGUGGCUUCCGGAGCUAACGCGUUAAGUCGACCGCCUGGGGAGUACGGCCGCAAGGUUAAAACUCAAAUGAAUUGACGGGGGCCCGCACAAGCGGUGGAGCAUGUGGUUUAAUUCGAUGCAACGCGAAGAACCUUACCUGGUCUUGACAUCCACGGAAGUUUUCAGAGAUGAGAAUGUGCCUUCGGGAACCGUGAGACAGGUGCUGCAUGGCUGUCGUCAGCUCGCGUUGUGAAAUGUUGGGUUAAGUCCCGCAACGAGCGCAACCCUUAUCCUUUGUUGCCAGCGGUCCGGCCGGGAACUCAAAGGAGACUGCCAGUGAUAAACUGGAGGAAGGUGGGGAUGACGUCAAGUCAUCAUGGCCCUUACGACCAGGGCUACACACGUGCUACAAUGGCGCAUACAAAGAGAAGCGACCUCGCGAGAGCAAGCGGACCUCAUAAAGUGCGUCGUAGUCCGGAUUGGAGUCUGCAACUCGACUCCAUGAAGUCGGAAUCGCUAGUAAUCGUGGAUCAGAAUGCCACGGUGAAUACGUUCCCGGGCCUUGUACACACCGCCCGUCACACCAUGGGAGUGGGUUGCAAAAGAAGUAGGUAGCUUAACCUUCGGGAGGGCGCUUACCACUUUGUGAUUCAUGACUGGGGUGAAGUCGUAACAAGGUAACCGUAGGGGAACCUGCGGUUG
rnacentral:rRNA from 1 species